CUUUCUCUUGGGUGUUGUAGCUGUAGUUGUUGCUCUGCUUUGCUUUCCUUUGCUUUGCUUGCUUGUUUAGUUUUGUGUUGUUGAGCGUUGCGUGUGCAACCUUGUUGUGUUGUGGACGGUGUGUCCUUGUAGCAAGUGUGGUUAAUGAGUAACCCUUGCUAGGUUGUGGUAGUUAGGUUUAGUUUCUUUUAAAAGCCUUGUUAGUUUAGGAUAUAUUGAACCCUAGGAUUUAGGAACCUAUCCCUAUUUAUAGCCAUAAGUUGAGAUGUGUCGUGAGUGUUGAUGGUGUCGGAAGGACAUGAGCCUUGACAUAUUGUUACCAAAAGAUUCGUGCAUGUGUGGGAAGAUCUGGAAUCAGAGGCAAUCGUGGUAUAGAUCGGCAACGAGUGUGCAACGGUUCAGAGUCGUCAAUGUGAAGGUUCAGAGUUGUCAGCGUAUGUUGAAGAGUCGUCGAGCAGUGUGGGGAUUCAAGAGGAGUGAUGGUGUGAUAUUUCUCCCAAGAAGGAUUUUCGUGCAAUCCGUGCAUGGUCAUGUGUGCAAGACCAGAGCAAUCAGUGAUCGAGCUAGUGAAGAAGCAACGAAGGCAGUAACUGAAGCGUUAAGGAGUGUAUGAUGUUUGAAAUGGUGAUGUCAUGAAGAGAUGAAGUUAAUAAAAAGCCCAUAAGCCGAAGAAUCAGAGAAGAGAUGUCACGAGGAAGACCAAACCAAGAAGAUGUCGUGGUGAAGCCCAAACAGUGUAAAGCCAAGAAGAAAGAUUGUGAUGAGAGUAGAAGAUGAAGCCUAGUCAAGUCUAAGACCAGAAGAAGACGAGAAGAGUUGAAGGAGAAAGCCCAGACGAAGAAGAGACGAAAUGUUGAAGAUCAAGAUGGAGUUGUUUCCUAAGGAGGGGAGACAAGAGUAAAGCAGUUGAGUUGAUCGUACCAGAACAGGCAGUCAUGAUAUGAGUAAAUGGUGGUAGAAGAAUUUAUUUAUAUCAAAUGGUGGUAGAAGAUUUUUGAAUCAAAUGGUGGAAUCAGAUGGUGGCAUCAGGUCAAAUGGUAGCGGAGUUUAGACCUACAUGGAGGAGUAUCAAACAGUAGCAGCCGAAUUACAAAGGAAGAAGAAGAUAGUGAGAGCAGAUAGUGGCAUCAACGACAUAAAGUCAAGGAGCAGAUCGAGGAAGCUGAAGCAGUAAAGAAAUGGUGAUAUCAAGGAGAGUUAAAGCAAAAGAAGAAGAGAGGAAGAAGAUUAUCAAUGAUCGGAGUAGAAUCGAAGAAGCUAGAAGAUGAUGAAGAGUUGAAGUAGCCAACAAAAGGUGGUAGCAGAAAGUUCGGCGUAACUUGUGAAUUCGGGGACAAAUUCAUUUUAAGGAGGGGAGAAUGUAAUAACCCUGACCUUAGAGGACAAAUCAACGCAAAGUCAACGACGUGGAAUCAUCCAGCAACCAAAGUGGAAAGGUGUAUGAAGAUGUUUAUGGAGGUUCGAUCGAGGAGUUUUGAAGAACGAUCGAGCAGAAGUAAAAAUGGUUCGAGGAGUUAGAAAUUAAGCUACGGAAUGGUGAUGGUCGAACAUGGAGGAUUUCCAAAGUCAGCAACUCAAGUAAGACUUAAUCCCAAUCAUCAAGUUGAGAUAGGAGAAAAUAUUUGGUCGAGUCAGAAUCAAGUUUGUUCGAGAGCGUAAGGAAGCAGUCGAAAAGCAGUACCGGAGAUAGUCUACAUCAGAGGUUCGGUAGCAGCAUGAAGAUAAAGGUGAUAAACAUAAAUCAAAGAGUUAAUGAGUCAACCUAGAAACCUUAUUUAAGGUAUUUGAAGACAUAUUAGAGAGUCUAGCCAAGACAUAACCAAGAUGAUCCGGAGAAAAGCAGUUUUCGUCGAUAUGGUCAAGUGAGCUGGAGGAGAGCUAAAGAAGCCAAAUGAAGAUGUGCAAAGAUGAGAAAAGAGUUCAAAGGGAUGUUUUACACAUUUCCUCAGGUUUUGAAAGUGGUCAACUCAGAAGUCAAAGUCAACCAAAGUCAAAGGAGAGAGAAAGUGCCUUAUUGGUCCAUUUACCACUUCCGAGCAACAAAUAGGAGCAUGCCACGUGUAGGAGAAAAAUUCCUUCAAACCUGGACAAGGUGUGGAAUAAAUCAAGGGAUUUUUGAGUGAAGAAAUCAUGGGCAAAAGACAUCUAGAGAGCAAGAAAUCAUGAAUACACGUUUUAUACCCGAAAUGGGCUAUAAAUGGCAAAGAAGACAUGGGCUGGAGAAAUGGGUUUCUACCUCAAAACCUCUACAUCUAAGGUUCAUUUAGGACCCAAAUGAAGUAAUGGAGCAGGCUGGAACAAUCACUUGAAGCCUGGAGUAAGUGGAGCAGUCCAUUAACCAAAAGUGGUAAAAAAGCCCUUCAUGAAGAAAAAAUAUUUGGAGUGGAAUAACGUCAGGCAUGAAGGAGAGCAUGCAUUGGUCAAUUCAGCACCUCAUGGAGUCUACAGGAAUAAUGGGUAACAAACCUAAGGAGUAGGUUUACCAUGUGUUUUGCAAAUAGCUCAUUUAAGUCUUAAAAAUGGGUUAUGGGGCAAAGUAACUUGCCGAUCAAGUUUGGAGCUGAGAUUUUAUACACUUGAACUUCAAGGUAAAGUAAGUGACCUUCCAGAAGCUCAGAAGAAAAAGAGUAGAUUAAGUGUAUUUACCCACAUGCAUGAAUUUCGAGUUUAAAUUGGUGUCAAGUGUGUGAACAUGUGUCAAGUGCUCCCAUCCCUCCCUUUGGCUAUAAAUAGAACCCUUAGGAUGUGUUUUUGAAGUUUAGAAACCCCUGAGCUUUCUCUCUCAGUCGAUCUUAUGGUUUGUUCUAGAGAGAGAAAAUGGCUUAAAACCGAUAAAAUUUUUGAGUAUGUGAGGUGAGUGUGGAAGGCUUUUGCGUGGCUUGAUCCUUGCUCUAGGAUCGGUUGUGGAGUGCUAGGAGUGGUGGUAAGACCUUAGUUGAUCGUUUGUAACCUUAGGGGAUUGGGCGUUUGCAGGGUGCGGAGGACGAGGCCACGCGUAGAUUUCCGUUGUUGUUUGCAAGGCGCAAGAUGUUGAUGUUUUCACUCGUUUUGUUUUUCAUGGGUACCCGUUGACUCGUUUGUUUUUAUUUUCUGCUGCGUUUAUCUUUAAGGACUUUAGUCGAGUUCCCGACUUUGUAAAAUAAAUAAAAUUAUGUUUGAUUUAAUAAAAUCCCCGUAGAACGCUGA